rnacentral:lncRNA from 1 species
GAAUGUUAGUCGCAGGGCUGCCAUCAUCCCCACAGCUUGCUGGGAUCGCAGGGACGGGGACGUGUGGACCACUUGCGCAGCUCCACAUUUCAAAUGGAAAUUCCCUGAGCAGUAGAACCUGAAACUAGUGUGCAGGAAGCUGGCCCGGCGGCAGCUUUGUUGUUUAGGGGUUCUGGACAGCGUCAGCCCUGUAAAUUCACACAUCUUAGGUGGCAGCACAAGACGCCCCCUGCCCAAGCGGGGGCUUGGAGCUGGCAAGCAAUAGCUCCUUAUCUCUGGCCCCUAUUCCCAUAAAAUUAUCUCCCUUGAAAGCCUGGCUAAAAGGUUAUCUAGAGGGGUCAGCGACUUUGUGCUUGUGGGAAGGGUUUUCUCAAGGUUUAGGAUUCCUCUGGCUUUUCAGCCAGUGGCUCGGAAUACAGCAAAUCAAAAGUCAGUUAGAGAGCCACCUGAGGUAGCCAGAAAGAAGGUCAGGUAGCAGCUUGCAUUGGGACGUAUGGUGGGACCCCUAAAAAAGCACCAUAUAAUUCCAUCUGAUCCUUAUUUAUCGCAUCCCUAAGGCACCUCAGUGAAUGACGCUAUCCUUAAGGAAUUGUUCCGUGAAGUUCACGUCUUUGGAGCAGGCGGUUGAGCUUACCACAAAAUUGGAAGAGGUGCCUUGUUGGCAAUAUGCUAUAUUGAAUCGGCUGUUAGGCUGCUGCUGGUUCACCCGCGAGAUUUUAAGUGGUUGGGCUUUAAUUUGGAUGGUGCUCCUUAUAUUGAUAAGGCGAUGCCGAUGGGUUGCGCAAUAGACUGUGCAGCUCUCGAGUCCUUUAGCGCCUUUCUGGAUUGAACAGUGUGAGUCUAUACUCAUUUAACUGGGGGUACCAUUUUUUGGAUUAUUUUACUGGCUGGUUCUUGUGACACCAGCCUCUGUGUAGGCUUGCUAGACAUCCUUUAUUCCCUCUGAGGAGCUGGGUGUUUCAUAGGCAGUGGAUGGGUCCCCCUCUUAAUAUUUGGGGGUUAGCUGGAUACCGUUGCUCAAACAUCUGCUUGCCUGUGGGGAAGCUGUUUGCCUUCAAGGAAGUUAUCUUGUUAUACUUCUUCUGAAGCAAGUGUUGCUUUGUCAAAUCCUAUCAUUUGCUAGGUCAGUUAAAUUAAUUUUGCAUGCAGAUUGGUUGCCCCAGGCCGCCCCUUCCAUUCCUGCUUGGCCAGGCUGCCUGUGGCCCGAGGUCCCCUUACCUUCGUGUACGCUUACCAAGUGAGGUCAAGGCGGAUCUCAUGCGGUGGUUGCAGUUCCUAAAUGGAUGCAAUAGUAGUUCACCAUGGCAGGAUACCUUGAACCUGCACAGCGAUUUUCAGGUUCAUGCUGAUGCUGCUGGAUCUUUGGCCUUUGGUUUUUAUUUCAGGGGCUGUUGGUGUGCAAAGCCAUGGCCUCAAGCCUGGUGUGGUGAGGCUAUCAUGUGACCUAACUUUGCUUGAGUUUUCCCCAUUGUAGUAGCAGUUCACAUCUGGACCGAGGAGUUCAGUGACCGUCGGAUCUGCUUUUGGUCUGAUAACCAGGCAGUGGUGAGCAUCUUGGCAGAACAGUCCACAUGCUCCAGCAGAGUCUCCGCCCCUCCGCUCACGCUUUUGAGCUGCACUGCUUAAGGUUUAAUAUUGUGCUUGCUGCUCACCUGCUAACAGGAUCCUCUAAUGAUAUUGGUGACACUCUAUCUCAUUUUCAGAUGGAGUGCUUCAGAUCCUGGGCUCCAGACUCUCAGCUAUUGCCGGACUUUUCUGGACCACCUGUUGCACUUUGACAACAAUUAGUAAUUACAGGGAGUAGCAGAUUCCAUUCCCCUUCUGCUUUUAGCUCUUAUGAGGAGGCCUGGACUGAUUUCUUAGGGUUUAGUUGACAGCCCUUGGCCAUUCAGAGGAACUUGCCCCCAUCCGCUGAGCAGAUCCUGCAGGAUUUGGCACACUUGCUGCAGAUUGGAUGUGCUGUAAACACUAUCAGAAUUCAGUCCGCUGCAAUGUCUGCUAUAGUGAAGCUUAAUUUUUCAGAGACCCUUGAAAAAAGUUUGUCGUGCACAGGGCCUUGAACGGUUGGAAUAGGCUCCAACUUCAUAGGUUGGCGCACCUCUUCCAAUUGGGCCGAGUGGCCAGGACGCUCAGGAUCCAACCGGCGGCCAUUUCCUUUUUCUGCAAAGCCUUUUUUAAUAAAGACCCUUGCGCCAAAUUUGUGGUGCGCAAGGCUGUGGAAGGCUGGGGUAGCCUGGGCACUCUAUCCCCUGUGGUAAGGAAGCCUAUAACUUUUGAUUUGCUGACCAGCAUGCGCUCAAAGUUGAGGAGCAUUUGCUGGUUCAAAUAUGAAGCACGGCGUUUUUCAGCCGCCUUUUCCUUAUCCUUUUUUGGCGCCCCGAGGGUAGGUGAGGUGGUAUUGGAGUUCACCCGCGGCAGAGAGUCAAGGGGACUGCUUUUGCAGGACGUAACUCUAUCCCCUUUGGAGGUGGUCCUGUUUAUCCGGAAUUUGAAGACAGACCAGUUAGGCAGGGGUGCCACUCUUAGGGUGCCUGCCACUGGAAAUAAGGGUCCUUGCCCGGUUAAGGAUACCUCCAGGUAUUUGGAUCUCAGGCCACGGGGGGAGGGUCCAUUCCUUAUUCAUGAGGAUGGUGCCCCGUUGACUACGCAUCAAUUUGCUAAGGUGAUGUGGUAAGCGAUUGCAGCUUGUGGUUUGAAAGCAGCAGGUUAUGCUCCUCAUUCUUCCGCAGUGGUGCUGCCACUACAGCAGCUCACUGGGGACUGUCUGUAGAAAGAAUUAAGAACAUGGGCCGUUGGAAGUCCAAUGCAUUUUGUGGAUAUGUGCAUAGACAUUGUUGUUCACCCAUACUUAUAUUUGCUUGUCUUCUCUUAGGUGUGGCUGCUGUUCGCAUUGUGGGCCACAGCAUUGUCUACUGGGUAUCAGAGCAAGGGAGUCUGGACUUGGACUCAGUCUUGGCCUUUCCUCAACACGCACAAGUGUCUUGGCUGUCCAGGCAUAGAAUGCUGUGGGCCGAAUUGCUUCCCCUUGUUCGGAAGCAUGUGAGGUUGGAGAGGCCCCCUACAGCUAUCGUGCUGCAGUUAGGGGGAAAUGAUCUGCUUGCCACAGACUGUUGUUCUUUACGUUUUACAGUUCAAAAGGACCUGGCUGAAUUGGCAGAGUUUUUGCUGGGUGUGAAAGUUUUUUGGUCCCAGUUGCUGCACCUGGCGUGGCAGUCGCUGUCCAGCCGCCACUGAUGGAGCCAGAAAGCGUGUUAAUAAGGUGGCAAUGAAAGCAGUCAUUGCUCAUGGUGGUUCUGUGAUUGAGCACCCCAAUAUCACCUUCAAGGCGGCCGUCCUUUUCAGGGACGAUGGUGUGCAUCUUUCCCCGUUGGGAAAUGACACAUUGUUAAAUUCUGUUGUGUGGGUUUGAAGGUGGGGCUGCAGUUGUGAGUGGUUGGCGACGAGCUUGAGUGCUCGGUGGCAGUUAGGCAUUGGUUUAUGGUUUGGUUGGUUGAGGGGAAGUGGUUGAGUGCCUGCCCUUGGUAGGUUGAGUGCCUGCCCCUCUAAUGCUGCUGCUGCAAGGGAUUCCGUUAAAGGAAUUGGGGGCUAACUAUUGCUUGUCCACUCUGUCAAGGGGGCUCGGGCCAUAGCAAUGAGCUCCUGGUUGCAUUUGGGGUGAGGGCAGGUUCCCUGCUCCGCGUAACCCCCAAGUGUAUUCCCCUAUUCUGACUUUCGCAUUGUGCGGAAUGUCAGUCUGUCCCC